UACGUAGGGGGCAAGCGUUGUCCGGAUUUAUUGGGCGUAAAGAGCGUGUAGGCGGUUUGGUAGGUCCGUUGUGAAAACUCGAGGCUCAACCUCGAGACGCCGAUGGAAACCAUCAGACUAGAGUCCGGAAGAGGAGAGUGGAAUUCCUGGUGUAGCGGUGAAAUGCGCAGAUAUCAGGAAGAACCACCCGUGGCAAGGCGGCUCUCUAGUACGGUACUGACGCUGAGACGCGAAAGCGUGGGGAGCGAACAGG
rnacentral:rRNA from 1 species